UACGUAGGGGGCAAGCGUUGUCCGGAAUCAUUGGGCGUAAAGAGCGCGUAGGCGGCCUAAGUCCGCUGUGAAAGUCAAGGGCUCAACCCUUGGAUGCCGGUGGAUACUGCAGGGCUAGAGUCCGGAAGAGGCGAGUGGAAUUCCUGGUGUAGCGGUGAAAUGCGCAGAUAUCAGGAGGAACACCGAUGGCGAAGGCAGCUCGCUGGGACGGUACUGACGCUGAGGCGCGAAAGCGUGGGGAGCAAACAGG
rnacentral:rRNA from 1 species